CACGCCGUAAACGAUGGAUGCUAGCUGUUACCCGUAUCGACCCGGGUAGUAGCGAAGCUAACGCGUUAAGCAUCCCGCCUGUGGAGUACGAGCGCAAGCUUAAAACAUAAAGGAAUUGACGGGGACCCGCACAAGCGGUGGAGCGUGUUCUUUAAUUCGAUGGUAAGCGAAGAACCUUACCAAGGUUUGAAAUCCUGCGAAGACCUCUGAAAGGAGAUUGUGCCUUCGGGAACGCAGUGACAGGUGU
rnacentral:rRNA from 1 species